GUCCACAUGGUGUAGUGGUAACACGUCCUUUCAAUAUGGUUGAUCACUCUAUAGUUUACAAGGGAUGACGUGGGUUCGACUCCCGCUGUGGACU